GCCAGCAGCCAUACCACCCUGCAGCUCACAUCUGACAACCCACUGAAGCUAAGCAGGUGUGAGCCUGGUCAAUACCUGGAUGAGAGAGCUCCUGGGAAAAACUAAGGUUGCUGCUGGAA
rnacentral:rRNA from 1 species